AGAGGGUAAAAGUAUAACAAACUGUUGUCACAAUUUGACGAAUCACUGAGCUCUCGCGUCACGUCAUCACACCCUUCCGCACCCCUCCACUACCGCAGGAACCUACUCAGUUAAGCGUUAUGCCUGUAGUAGUAUAAU